UAGCAUGUUUCCAAGGUUUGUGACAGGUCACAGCCGUGGGACCUCCAACUGCAGGAAGAAUAACCGGAGACUCUGACAGCACAGGUCAGCAUAGCACCUGCAACCUUGCUAUUUUUCAGAGCCAGGGCU
ensembl:snoRNA